GACAGAGGGUGCAAACGUUGUUCGGAUUUACUGGGCGUAAAGCGUGUGUAGGCGGCUUGGCAAGUUGGAUGUGAAAGCCCACGGCUCAACCGUGGAAGCGCACCCAAAACUGCUUCGCUCGAGUCUCGGAGAGGAAGGUGGAAUGCUUGGUGUAGAGGUGAAAUUCGUAGAUAUCGAGGGGAACACCAGUGGCGAAGGCGGCCAACUGGACGAAUACUGACGCUGAGACACGAAAGCGUGGGGAGCAAGCAGG
rnacentral:rRNA from 1 species